rnacentral:rRNA from 1 species
CUACACUGCGUGAGCGGACGAAAACAACAACACCUAAAAUGUGGAAUAUAGCAUAUAGUCGACAAGAGAAAUCUACGAAAAAACAAACAAAACUUUCAACAACGGAUCUCUUGGUUCUCGCAUCGAUGAAGAGCGCAGCGAAAUGCGAUACCUAGUGUGAAUUGCAGCCAUCGUGAAUCAUCGAGUUCUUGAACGCACAUUGCGCCCCUCGGCAUUCCGGGGGGCAUGCCUGUUUGAGCGUCGUUUCCAUCUUGCGCGUGCGCAGAGUUGGGGGAGCGGAGCGGACGACGUGUAAAGAGCGUCGGAGCUGCGACUCGCCUGAAAGGGAGCGAAGCUGGCCGAGCGAACUAGACUUUUUUUCAGGGACGCUUGGCGGCCGAGAGCGAGUGUUGCGAGACAACAAAAAGCUCGACCUCAAAUCAGGUAGGAAUACCCGCUGAACUUAAGCAUAUCAAUAAGCGGAGGAAAAGGAUCAUUACUGUGAUUUA